CUGAAGAUUCCGGCAGUGAACGAAGCACGCUGCAUCGGUUGCGGAGCCUGCGAGACGUUGGGUAGGAGAGCGUCCCGCGUGGGGCGAAGCGGCCGGGGAACCGUGCCGUGGACCGCGCGGGAGUGAGAAUGCAGACAUGAGUAGCGAGAGACGGGUGAGGAUCCCGUCCGCUGGAUGACCAAGGGUUCCGGGGCCACGUUCGUCGUCCCCGGGUGAGUCGGGUCCUAAGGCGAGGCCGACAGGCGUAGUCGAAUGGAUGAACGGGUGGAUAUUCCCGUACCGGCGGCGUACCGUAAGAGCCGAACGGAUGAGUACUAACCUCCGGUCGCGUGGCGUCGUUCCCUUCGGGGUUCGGGGCGCGUGGCUGUUGGGAGCGUAGUCCUGGUAGGCUAGCGCACAGGGGUGACACGGAAUGGGAGCCGGCCGCGGAGGUGGUUUUCCGUGGUCAAGCACGCAGCCCGUCCCAUAGGCAAAUCCGUGGGACGCAUAGGGUGAGGUGUGAUGAUGGGCGUCCUUUGGACGCGAUAUCCGGUGGUCCAGGCCGUCGAGAAAAGCCUCGGCGCGAGGGGCGUCGCCGCCCGUACCCCAAACCGACACUGGUGGUCAGGUAGAGAAUACCAAGGCGAUCGAGCGAAUCCUGGUCAAGGAACUCGGCAAAUCACUCCCGUGCCUUCGGUAUAAGGGAGACCCCCGGGCGUGAAGAGGCUUGCCCUCGGAGCGUUGGGGGGUGGCACAGACCAGGGGGUAGCGACUGUUUACCAAAAACACAGGUGCAUGCGAAGGCGCAAGCCGCUGUAUAUGCACUGACGCCUGCCCGGUGCCGGAAGGUUAAGAGGAUCCGUCAGCCCCUUUUGGGGUGAAGCGGUGAAUUCAAGCCCCGGUAAACGGCGGUGGUAACUAUAACCAUCCUAAGGUAGCGAAAUUCCUUGUCGGGUAAGUUCCGACCUGCACGAAUGGCGUAACGACUUCCCCACUGUCUCGACCAGGAGCUCGGCGAAAUUGCAGUACGAGUAAAGAUGCUCGUUAAGCGCAGAAGGACGAAAAGACCCCGGGACCUUUACUAUACCUUGGUAUUGGCGUUAGGCGCGGAUUGUGUAGCAUAGGCGGGAGGCUUCGAAGCAUGGGCGCCAGCCCGUGUGGAGCCGCAAGGUGAAAUACCGCUCUGUUCUCGUUUGACGUCUCACCUCGAACAGUCAUCCUGUUCAGGGACAGUGCCUGGCGGGUAGUUUAACUGGGGCGGUUGCCUCCCAAAGAGUAACGGAGGCGCUCAAAGGUCCGCUCAGCCCGGUUGGCAAUCGGGUUUCGAGUGUAAUCGCACAAGCGGGCUUGACUGCGAGAACGACGGUUCGGGCAGGGACGAAAGUCGGAGAUAGUGAUCCGGUGCCGGCGCACGGGCGCGGCAUCGCUCAACGGAUAAAAGGUACCCCGGGGAUAACAGGCUGAUCAUUCCCAAGAGUCCAUAUCGACGGGAUGGUUUGGCACCUCGAUGUCGGCUCGUCGCAUCCUGGGGCUGGAGCAGGUCCCAAGGGUUUGGCUGUUCGCCAAUUAAAGCGGCACGCGAGCUGGGUUCAGAACGUCGUGAGACAGUUUGGUCUCUAUCCUCUGCGCUCGUUGGAAUCCUGAGGAGGCCUGCCCAUAGUACGAGAGGACCUGGGUGGACGGACCUCUGGUAUGCCGGUUGUCGCGCCAGCGGCAUGGCCGGUUGGCUACGUUCGGGAGGGAUAACCGCUGAAAGCAUCUAAGCGGGAAGCCUGCUCCAAGAUUAGGAUUCCUUGACGCUCCCCGGAGCGCCUGUAGCCCGCAUGUUGAACACGUGUUCGAUAGGCCGGAGGUGGAAGCCCCGCGAGGGGUGGAGCCGACCGGUACUAACGGGCGAACGCGGCACAC
rnacentral:rRNA from 1 species